CAGGGAAUCUUGCACAAUGGGCGAAAGCCUGAUGCAGCGACGCCGCGUGGGGGAUGAAGGCCUUAGGGUCGUAAACCCCUUUCAGCAGGGACGAAAAUGACGGUACCUGCAGAAGAAGCCCCGGCCAACUACGUGCCAGCAGCCGCGGUAAGACGUAGGGGGCGAGCGUUGUCCGGAUUUAUUGGGCGUAAAGAGCUCGUAGGCGGUUGCGUAAGUCGGAUGUGAAAACUCAGGGCUCAACCCUGAGACGCCAUCCGAUACUGCGCUGACUUGAAUCCAGUAGGGGAGUGUGGAAUUCCUGGUGUAGCGGUGAAAUGCGCAGAUAUCAGGAGGAACACCCAUGGCGAAGGCAGCACUCUGGGCUGGUAUUGACGCUGAGGAGCGAAAGCAUGGGUAGCGAACAGGAUUAGAUACC
rnacentral:rRNA from 1 species